CCUACGGGAGGCAGCAGUGGGGAAUAUUGCACAAUGGGGGAAACCCUGAUGCAGCGACGCCGCGUGAAGGAAGAAGGACUUCGGUAUGUAAACUUCUAUCAGCAGGGAAGAAAAUGACGGUACCUGACUAAGAAGCCCCGGCUAACUACGUGCCAGCAGCCGCGGGAAUACGUAGGGGCAAGCGGUAUCCGGAUUUACUGGGUGUAAAGGGAGCGUAGGCGGCGAUGCAAGGCAGAAGUGAAAGCCCGGGGCUCAACUCCGGGAUUGCUUUUGAAACUGUAUGGCUGGAUUGGAGGAGAGGCAAGUGGAAUUCCUAGUGUAGCGGUGAAAUGCGUAGAUAUUAGGAGGAACACCAGUGGCGAAGGCGGCUUGCUGGACUGUAAAUGACGCUGAGGCUCGAAAGCGUGGGGAGCAAACAGGAUUAGAUACCCCUGUAGUC
rnacentral:rRNA from 1 species